UCUGCGUGCAAUUUGGAGGAAGUUGCUGACUAGCGUUAGUGCAAUUACUAACUGAGCGUUAGCGCAAUACCUUGAAGUCCAUGGUAACAGCUAGGACGCUACCGCUAACUUCAUUCAUACUGAAUGUAGAGAAAUAAAAUGGUAUCCCAGGAGUUCAUCUGACUCUGGGAAAGUAGAUGCGGGGUUUCAUUGCCAAAAUCCCAAAGUACCCCUUAAAGUAUUAGAUCUCCCCAACCCCCCCCAAAAAAACUUUUUGACGGGCUUGAAGAUGAUUCUAGGACGAUGGUGUAAUCAGGGGAAGGAGUGUGGCCUUAAAGAAUCUAAGCCUCACCAUCAAAGACUCCUCUUUGAUCAUCUCUUCAAAGACCUAGUUGGCCCGUUUUUUCCCAAUGUCCAUCAUAGUGGAUACCGACCGUGCUUUCAAUGUCCAUCAUAGUGGAUACUGACAGUGUUUACGUCUUAUGAAAUGUAGUGAAAGAAUCGGACUUUAAUUUGCUGUUGUACUCACUCAGUAGGAGGAAGAGUGAAAAGGCCUCAGAUGUCCCCCCCCCACGCUGUUACCAUGACGCUGCAGAGGAUCUUCUGUCUGACAUCUGAUCUUAUCUCCUCUCUUUGGGGCCGAGCCUGGCUUCCCAUAGGGAGGCCUGCUGCCGAGGAGAAGAGGAGUGAGAGGAGAGGACAACAGGCAACAGCAGACACAGUGUACACCCUGGAAAGUAGACAACAGCCUCAAUUCGUCGGGGGAAUGGACUCUACAAGGUGUCAGAAGUGUUCCACAGGGGAUGCUGGACCAUGUUGACUCCAAAUGCUUCCCACAGUUGUGUCAAGUUGUCUGGAUGUCCUUUGGGUGGUGGACCGUUCUUGAUACACACAGGAAACUGUUGAGCGUGAAAAACCCAGCAGCGUUGCAGUUCUUGACACAGUCAAACCGAUGCACCAGGAAGAAAACACUGUGAGCUGAUGAGCAAGGUAAGAUGGGCACCGUAUGAACAGUAUGGCCUG